CCUUGCUGAUGAGUAGCUUCUGACUUUCGUUCUUUUGAGUUUGCUGAAGCCAGAUGCCAUUCCUGAGAAGG
rnacentral:snoRNA from 1 species